GCCGGUUUAGCUCAGUGGUAGAGCAACGGUUUUGUAAACCGUCGGUCGUCGGUUCGAUCCCGACAACCGGCU
rnacentral:tRNA from 1 species